rnacentral:rRNA from 1 species
AAUAUUGGACAUUGGGGGCAACCCUGAUCCAGCAAUGCCGCGUGUGUGAAGAAGGNUUNNGGAUUNUNAAGCACUUUAAGUUGNNNNNAAGGGCUUUCGNCUAAUACCCUGAAGUUUUGACGUUACCAACAGAAUAAGCAACGGCUAACGCUGUGCCAGCAGCCGCGGUAAUAUAUAGGGUUCAAGCGUUCAUCGGACUUACUGGGCGUAAAGCGCGCGGAGUUAGUUCAGUAAGAUGGGUGUGAAAUCCCCGGGCUUAACCUGGGAACUGCUUUCAUCGCUGCUGGGCUAGAGUACGGUAGAGGGUAGUGGAGUUUCCUGUGUAGCGGUGAAAUGCGUAGAUAUAGGAAGGAACACCAGUGGCGAAGGCGACUACCUGGACUGAUACUGACACUGAGGUGCGAAAGCGUGGGGAGCAAAC